rnacentral:rRNA from 1 species
ACGGAAGGCAGCAGUGGGGAAUAUUGCACAAUGGGGGAAACCCUGAUGCAGCGACGCCGCGUGAGUGAAGAAGUAUUUCGGUAUGUAAAGCUCUAUCAGCAGGGAAGAAAAUGACGGUACCUGACUAAGAAGCCCCGGCUAACUACGUGCCAGCAGCCGCGGUAAUACGUAGGGGGCAAGCGUUAUCCGGAUUUACUGGGUGUAAAGGGAGCGUAGACGGUUCUGCAAGUCUGAUGUGAAAGGCAGGGGCUCAACUCCUGGACUGCAUUGGAAACUGUAGAACUAGAGUGCCGGAGAGGUAAGCGGAAUUCCUAGUGUAGCGGUGAAAUGCGUAGAUAUUAGGAGGAACACCAGUGGCGAAGGCGGCUUACUGGACGGUAACUGACGUUGGGGCUCGAAAGCGUGGGGAGCAAACAGGAUUAGAUACCCUGGUA